rnacentral:rRNA from 1 species
AGUGAACGCUGGCGGUAGGCCUAACACAUGCAAGUCGAACGGCAGCACAGUAAGAGCUUGCUCUUACGGGUGGCGAGUGGCGGACGGGUGAGGAAUACAUCGGAAUCUACUUUUUCGUGGGGGAUAACGUAGGGAAACUUACGCUAAUACCGCAUCCGACCUACGGGGAAAAGCAGGGGACCUUCGGACCUUCCGGGAUUGAAUGAGCCGAUGUCGGAUUAGCUAGUUGGCGGGGUAAAGGCCCACCAAGGCGACGAUCCGUAGCUGGUCUGAGAGGAUGAUCAGCCACACUGGAACUGAGACACGGUCCAGACUCCUACGGGAGGCAGCAGUGGGGAAUAUUGGACAAUGGGCGCAAGCCUGAUCCAGCCAUACCGCGUGGGUGAAGAAGGCCUUCGGGUUGUAAAGCCCUUUUGUUGGGAAAGAAAAGCAGCAGGUUAAUACCCCGCUGUUCUGACGGUACCCAAAGAAUAAGCACCGGCUAACUUCGUG